AAUGACAACACUGGAUAUUCCAGCAAACGUCAGCAAAUGUGGUGAUCUUGCCUCAAGCCAGAUAUCUAAACCUUAUGUGCACGGCACCGAUUAAAAAACGAAGCGCAAGCUCUAUUGCUUGGUGACCAUAGCGUCUGUGACCCACCCGAUCCCUUCCCGAACUCGGACGUGAAACCAGUCUGCGCCGAUGGUACUGUGGCUCAAGCCCCGGAAGAGUAGGGCGUCGCCAGGC
rnacentral:rRNA from 1 species